rnacentral:rRNA from 1 species
AUCUACGGCCAUGCUACCCUAAACAAGCCCAAUCCCGUCUGAUCUCAGAAGCUAAGCAAGGUCGGGCCUGGUUAGUACUUCGAUGGGAGACCACCUAGGAAGACCAGGAGCUAUAAGCG